rnacentral:tRNA from 1 species
AGUAGGGUCAGCUAAACAAGCUAUCGGGCCCAUACCCCGAAAAUGCCAAACGGCCCCUACUA